CUUCGAAGUACGGUAAUGGAAUAUGUAGAAUUUUUUUGUCACGAAUUGCGCCAUGCACGCGACCCUGAUUUACCAUUUCGGAUAGUUUCUGGAACGCACGAACAAAACGCCGCUAUUUGGAUAUAACGAUGGAUUAUUUGGGACCAAACCAACAUUUGUUAUUGAAGUAGAAGUCCUGGGAGUGCAUUCUGACGAAGACAACAAAGGACCUGAGCCCUAGGACCAUGCCUCAGGACUACCUGGCAUGAUGACUCCUUGCUGUCCCCAGUCCACCUGGCCGUGCUGCUGCUCCAGUUUCAACUGUUCUGCCUGCGGCUUUGGAACCCUGACCUGUUCACCGGACGUGCUUGUUGCACCCUCGACAACUACUAUGAUUAUUAUUAUUAUUUGACCAUGCUGGUCAUUUAUGAACAUUUUAACAUCUUGACCAUGUUCUGUUAUAAUAUCCACCCUGCACAGCCAGAAGAGGACUGGCCAUCCCUCAUAGCCUGGUUCCUCUCUAGGUUUCUUCCUAGGUUUUUGGCCUUUCUAGGGAGUUUUUCCUAGCCACCGUGCUUCUUUCACAUGCAUUGCUUGCUGUUUGGGGUUUUAGGCUGGGUUUCUGUACAGCACUUUGAGAUAUCAGCUGAUGUACGAAGGGCUAUAUAAACACAUUUGAUUUGAUUUUCGGUCAAAAGAGAUGGUUGCAGCAACAUUAUGUACAAAACAAAGUUACACAUGUUGCAUGUGUGUGUGAUUAGUUGUGUUAGUGUGUUUUACCUGCUGAGCAAACAUGUUAGUGUGUCUGCUCUCACAGUGGGCCCACAGAGAGGGAGGAUCUACAGUGCUGUUAAUGGGG
rnacentral:lncRNA from 1 species